AUCAUGACCUGAGCUGAAGUUGGUCACCCAACCAACUGAGCCACCCAGGCGCCCCUUAGCUCUUCUGAUUGGGUGGCUGACUGGGGCCUACAGCUCUCUGCCGCCGCUCAGCAUUAUGAGAGGAUCAUAGUGCACAUCACUAGCCAUGGAGAACUUGGCCUUGCCUACCUGAGUACAGUGCUGAGGCCUCGAUCUUCUUGGCUGUUCUCUCCGCAUCUCUCAAGGAAAAAUACAAAUUCUCAGCAGUAAGGAAGACUACUAACAAAUAACAUUUAUUGAAUAACUUUUCUGUUCAGGGCACUUGGUUUGGCACUUUGCAUGGAUCACAUAAUUCAAUUCUGACAUUAA